rnacentral:tRNA from 1 species
CACUAGGAAGCUAAUCAAAGCGUUAACCUUUUAAGUUAAAGAGAGGGAGCAGUAAUCUCCCCUUAGUGA